AGUGAACGCUGGCGGCAGGCCUAACACAUGCAAGUCGAACGGCAGCACAGUAAGAGCUUGCUCUUACGGGUGGCGAGUGGUGGAAGGUUGAGGAAUACAUCGGAAUCUACUUUUUCGUGGGGGAUAACGUAGCUAAACUUACGCUAAUACCGCAUACGACCUACGGGUGAAUGCAGGGGAUCUUCGGACCUUGCUCGGUUGAAGGAGCCGAUGUCGGAUUAGCUAGUUGGCGGGUUAAAGGCCCACCACGGCGACGAUCCGUAGCUGGUCUGCGAGGAUGAUCAGCCAGACUGGAAUUGAGACACGGUCCAGACUCGCACGGGAGGCAGCAGUGGGGAAUAUUGGACAAUGGGUGGAAGACGGAUCCAGCCAUGCCGCGUGGGUGCAGAAGGCCUUCGGGUUGUAAAGCCCUUUUGUUGGGAAAGAAAAGCAUCACGUUAAUAACCAGCUGUAAUGACGGUACCCGAAGGAUAAGCCCCGGGUAACUUCGUG
rnacentral:rRNA from 1 species